UACGUAGGGCGCAAGCGUUGUCCGGAAUUAUUGGGCGUAAAGAGCUCGUAGGCGGCUUGUCACGUCGGUUGUGAAAGCCCCGGGGCUUAACCCCGGGUCUGCAGUCGAUACGGGCAGGCGUAGAGUGUGGUAGGGGAGAUCGGAAUUCCUGGUGUAGCGGUGAAAUGCGCAGAUAUCAGGAGGAACACCGGUGGCGAAGGCGGAUCUCUGGGCCAUUACUGACGCUGAGGAGCGAAAGCCGUGGGGAGCGAACAGG
rnacentral:rRNA from 1 species